GACCACUCUGGUGGCUUAGUAGUUAGAGGGUCUGCCUUGGAUGCUGGAGGUCAUGGUUUCCAACCCCAGUCAAGUCA